rnacentral:lncRNA from 1 species
CGAUUUCCUUACAUAGAAAACGAUGGAGUUAGAAUGGAUGGUCUAAUGGAUGGAGACCUAUUGGAAGAUCUCUUCCAAUUCUAAAUCUUAUCAUCCUAUUUUAGGGAGUCAAUGAAGUUUUUGCUAGUCAAAACCUAGCACCAAAGCCACAGGGAUUUUGCUGGUGAACAAUAUGCUUAAUAAAGGCAAGAAUUGGGGGGAGGUGGGUAGAGAAUAAGCUGAUCUUUACUGAUCUCUGGUUCUUUUUUUAAUUCUUGUUUAUAUCUUUUAUUUUUUACAACACCAUAAUUCUCCUAGUAGUUCUAUUCUUCCCCCAUGAAUGAGCUAUCCCAUAGAACAAAUGUUAUUUUUUAGAGAUUAAGAAAAAAGAAAAGGACAAAGGAAAACAUCAACAUAACUGCUGAUCUUUGGUUCUGAUUUAAAUUCAUUUUCAUGCUAUUCUAUCGGAAUUCUAAGCAAGAUCAUUGUCUGGAACUUAGGGCUAAAAUCUCUGUCAAGAUAUCAGUGUAAAAAAUUUUAAAAAAUCAUUCUUAGUCAAAUUACCCUUUGACCAUCUUUUGUUACUUAGGUGUGAUGGCUAUCACUAAUUUGCAUUUAUCCAGAAGAUUUUGGCUACCCUAUCUGAGCCAAAAAACCUACAUCAGCUAAGAGGGUCAGUGAAGUUUCACUGAAAGUCAAAAAAAGGUGAAGGGAGUGGUGACCUUUUGAAUUUUGAAAGAUCUAGAGAAUACUUCAGCAUCCUGGAUUCCAUAGUCUGGGCUCCAGAGCCAAUUCAGCAUCACUUCUCUAAGAAGCAAGGAGUGACCUUCAAGAUCUCUGGCCAAUGGAAGCUGAAAUGAAGAUUCAUUCAGCAAUAAUGCCACAUCAAUUGAGGAAGUGACUUAAAUCUCUAAUCUACCCUGUCCUCAUGGAGUAUGAGGGGGCAGGAAAUUUUGUUCUUGUAAUAUUUUAAAAGUAAAUAUCUCUUAGUAAAAGCUAAUUGAUGGUAAGUGGUUAAAUGGAACUGAGAUUAGUCAGUAGCAACUAACAAUGGGGAAACAGAGUCAGUGUUGACUCAAGUCAAUUAGCAAUAGAGAAGAGCCAUCCUUCCAAACCUUUAAGAACCUUUAACAAGCCUGACUCAAAGAGAGAGGACCAAAGUGGCCCUACCACAUACACACGCUGCAGGCAAGGGCAUAUAGAUUAAAAAAAUAUGUUGCCAAGUUUCUAAUAUGAUACGGGUAUCAUUUCUAAGAUAAAGAAUUGAUUAAAAUUUGUGUUUUUUUUUUCUAUCAAUAAUAUUUUCUUUUCCAAUUAUGUGCAAAAAUAAUGUUUUGCAUUCUUCUCUAACACUUUGAGUUCCAAAAUUUCCCCCUCCCUUCUUUUCUCCCUUUCCUUCUCCCAGAGAUAGUAAGCA